CGCCUACGGGACGCAGCAGUGAGGAAUAUUGGUCAAUGGGCGGAAGCCUGAACCAGCCAAGUCGCGUGAGGGAAGAAGGCCCUGCGGGUCGCAGACCUCUUUGGACGGGGAGCAAGGCCGCCGACGUGUCGGCGGAAGGAGAGUACCCGUAGAACAAGCAUCGGCUAACUCCGUGCCAGCAGCCGCGGUAAUACGGAGGAUGCGAGCGUUAUCCGGAUUUACUGGGUGUAAAGGGAGCGCAGACGGCAGUGCAAGUCUGGAGUGAAAGCCCGGGGCCCAACCCCGGAACUGCUCUGGAAACUGUG
rnacentral:rRNA from 1 species